GGGUGCCAGCUUUGUAGGAGCCAUGGCACAGGAUGAGGCUCUUCUCUGAUAUUCCUUUAUCACCUUUAAGACUGGACCCACAAAGAAAACACAAUUGCCUUCCAUCCCCUCUCCGAAAUCUCAUUACCUAUCACAGAAAAGAAGACUGAGUAAUGUAACCACACCUGGAUGAAUUUUUUCACAAAACAAUGUCUGCCUUUCAGGCUCAUUCAAAUUCUAAAGAGAAUAACUUACAGAUUAAUUCCUGUCUCCCAGGUUCAUUCAUUUCCCCUAAAAAUCAUUUGCUGCCCCU
rnacentral:lncRNA from 1 species